UUUGCCUCGAUUGAUUUAUCUCUUCGGCGUGCUCAAUAUUCCCCACAAGCUAUUUAAAACUUUGACGCUUUGAUUUUUCUACUGGAAUCGAAGGCUUUUCUUAUUUUCUUCUAAAUCUCGACAUCUGAUCCUACUAAUGUUGCAACAAAUCAUGGUUCAUGCUACUUUGCCUUUUGAGACGAUCCAGAUGAAGUUAAAGCAAGACUCAAGUAUUGGGUACAAACAGUAGCAUGUACUCUACGGUUAUGCAGCUGAAGUUGUGCCUAUCCUUUAAAGUUCAUCUACAUCCGGAAGAAGCAAGAUCCAUGCAAUCCGCUGUAAGAGCUAUCCUCUAGUGUUUAUAAUCAAUGCUGAAGAUGGCAACUAAAGUCCCUUCACAAUAAACAGAGACGAAUAAAAGUAAUGGUUCAUUAUAACCUUUGAGGAAGAAUAACUCUACAAGUUCAUGU